UCUCCGACUCAGGACAACCCGGGGAAACCCGGGCUAAUACCGCAUACGUCCUACGGGAGAAAGAGGGCCUCUGCUUGCACGCUCUCACUCCAGGAUGAGCCCACGUCCGAUUAGCUAGUUGGUAGGGUAAAGGCCUACCAAGGCCACGAUCGGUAGCUGGUCUGAGAGGAUGAUCAGCCACACUGGGACUGAGACACGGCCCAGACUCCUACGGGAGGCAGCAGUGGGGAAUAUUGGACAAUGGGCGCAAGCCUGAUCCAGCAAUGCCGCGUGUGUGAAGAAGGCCUGCGGGUUGUAAAGCACUUUCAGUGGGGAAGAACAGAUUCGGGUCAAUACCCCGGAGCCCUGACGUUACCCACAGAAGAAGCACCGGCUAACUCCGUG
rnacentral:rRNA from 1 species